rnacentral:rRNA from 1 species
GACGAACGCUGGCGGCGUGCUUAACACAUGCAAGUCGAACGGUGAAGCGCCUUCCUUUUUGGUGGGUGUGGAUGAGUGGCGAACGGGUGAGUAACACGUGAGUAACCUGCCCCCUUCUUCUGGAUAACCGCAUGAAAGUGUGGCUAAUACGGGAUAUUCUGGGUCUGUCGCAUGAUGGGUCUGGGAAAGAUAUUGUUUCGGUGGGGGAUGGGCUCGCGGCCUAUCAGCUUGUUGGUGGGGUGAUGGCCUACCAAGGCGGUGACGGGUAGCCGGCCUGGGAGGGUGGACGGUCACACUGGGACUGAGACACGGACCAGACUCCUACGGGAGGCAGCAGUGGGGAAUAUUGCACAAUGGGCGCAAGCCUGAUGCAGCGACGCCGCGUGAGGGAUGGAGGCCUUCGGGUUGUGAACCUCUUUCGCCAGUGAAGCAGGCCUGCCUCGUUUGUGGGUGGGUUGACGGUAGCUGGAUAAGAAGCGCCGGCUAACUACGUG